rnacentral:rRNA from 1 species
CCUACGGGUGGCAGCAGUGAGGAAUAUUGGUCAAUGGGCGCGAGCCUGAACCAGCCAAGUAGCGUGAAGGAUGACUGCCCUACGGGUUGUAAACUUCUUGUAUAAAGGAAUAAAGUGAGGCACGAGUGCCUUUUUGUAGGUACUUUAUGAAUAAGGAUAGGCUAACUCCGUGCAAGCAGCAGCGGUAAUACGGAGGAUCCGAGCGUUAUCCGGAUUGAUUGGGUUUAAAGGGAGCGUAGAUGGGUUGUUAAGUCAGUUGUGAAAGUUUGCGGCUCAACAGUAAAAUUGCAAUUGAUACUGGCAGUCUUGAGUACAGUUGAGGUAGGCGGAAUUCGUGGUGUAGCGGUGAAAUGCUUAGAUAUCACGAAGAACUCCGAUUGCGAAGGCAGCUUACUAAACUGCCACUGACAUUGAUGCUCGAAAGUGUGGGUAUCAAACAGGAUUAGAUACCCCUGUAGUC